rnacentral:rRNA from 1 species
UACGUAGGGAGCAAGCGUUGUCCGGAAUCAUUGGGCGUAAAGCGCGCGUAGGUGGCCACAUAAGUCCGUUGUGAAAGUCAAAGGCUCAACCUUUGAAAGCCGAUGGAUACUGUGUGGCUAGAGUACGGAAGAGGCGAGUGGAAUUCCUGGUGUAGCGGUGGAAUGCGCAGAUAUCAGGAGGAACACCAAUAGCGAAGGCAGAUCUCUGGGCCGUAACUGACGCUGAGGAGCGAAAGCGUGGGGAGCGAACAGG